rnacentral:rRNA from 1 species
GAUGAACGCUGGCGGCGUGCCUAACACAUGCAAGUCGAGCGAUUCUCUUCGGAGAAGAGCGGCGGACGGGUGAGUAACGCGUGGGUAACCUGCCCUAUACACACGGAUAACAUACCGAAAGGUAUGCUAAUACGAGAUAAUAUGCUUUUAUCGCAUGGUAGAAGUAUCAAAGCUCCGGCGGUACAGGAUGGACCCGCGUCUGAUUAGCUAGUUGGUAAGGUAACGGCUUACCAAGGCGACGAUCAGUAGCCGACCUGAGAGGGUGAUCGGCCACAUUGGAACUGAGACACGGUCCAAACUCCUACGGGAGGCAGCGGUGGGGAAUAUUGCACAAUGGGCGAAAGCCUGAUGCAGCAACGCCGCGUGAGCGAUGAAGGCCUUCGGGUCGUAAAGCUCUGUCCUCAAGGAAGAUAAUGACGGUACUUGAGGAGGAAGCCCCGGCUAACUACGUGCCAGCCGCCGCCGUAA